GGUAGCGUGGCCGAGCGGUCUAAGGCGCUGGUUUUAGGCACCAGUCAUUUCGAUGGCGUGGGAUCGAAUCCCACCGCUGCCA
rfam:Ciona savignyi cont_23875, whole genome shotgun sequence.